rnacentral:rRNA from 1 species
CAGCCCUUGACAUGGGACGUAUGGGGAUCGGAGACGGUCUCCUUCAGUUCGGCUGGCGUCCGCACAGGUGCUGCAUGGCUGUCGUCAGCUCGUGUCGUGAGAUGUUGGGUUAAGUCCCGCAACGAGCGCAACCCUCAUCUUCAGUUGCCAUCGGGUUAUGCCGGGCACUCUGGAGAAACUGCCGGUGACAAGCCGGAGGAAGGCGGGGAUAACGUCAAGUCCUCAUGGCCCUUAUGGGCUGGGCUACACACGUGCUACAAUGGCGGUGACAGAGGGACGCAAGGGCGCGAGCCUGAGCCAAUCUCGAAAAGCCGUCUCAGUUCGGAUUGCUCUCUGCAACUCGAGAGCAUGAAGUUGGAAUCGCUAGUAAUCGCGGAUCAGCAUGCCGCGGUGAAUA